GUUCUGCUCCAGUCAACAUGCUGAGGUGGUUCUUCUCCAUGUCUGUGGUUCUGGACCUUCUAUCAGGAGUCUGUGUUGGACGACUGACUCCAGUCAUGGUCCAAGAGUCAUAUGAAGAAGGCAGAGCUGUCACUCUGUCCUGCACCAUCUCUCCACGUGCUACAUCCGUGGACCUGCUCUCCUGGUACCGACAGUACCGUGGAGGAUCACUGGAUCUCCUGACAGCUUACUUUCAGGAUGGUGGAAGAGUUAAAGCUCCAGUCUCUGGCCUGACUGCUGGUGCGAAGGCUGAUGGAAGCCAGAUGGAGCUGAAGAUCGAGUCUGCUGCAGCGACGGACUCUGCUGUCUACUUCUGUGCUCUACAGCCCACAGUGGCAGCUGGGGACGACUGCUUCCUCUGCAGCACCAGGUCUGGACUGGAGCAAGUGACUCUCAUCUGCAACGUCUCUGGACUCUCACCUGCUGGUGUUCUGGUGUCUGUGUUGGACAACUGA